rnacentral:rRNA from 1 species
GACGAACGCUGGCGGCGUGCUUAACACAUGCAAGUCGAACGGAAAGGCCCCUUUGGGGGUACUCGAGUGGCGAACGGGUGAGUAACACGUGAGUAACCUGCCCUUGACUUCGGGAUAACUUCAGGAAACUGGGGCUAAUACCGGAUAGGAAUCCUUGCUGCAUGGUGGGGGUUGGGAAGCUUCGGCGGUUUUGGAUGGACUCGCGGCUUAUCAGCUUGUUGGUGGGGUAGUGGCUUACCAAGGCUUUGACGGGUAGCCGGCCUGAGAGGGCGACCGGCCACAUUGGGACUGAGAUACGGCCCAGACUCCUACGGGAGGCAGCAGUGGGGAAUAUUGCACAAUGGGCGGAAGCCUGAUGCAGCAACGCCGCGUGCGGGAUGACGGCCUUCGGGUUGUAAACCGCUUUCAGCAGGGGCGAAGCUUUUGUGACGGUACCUGCAGAAGAAGCACCGGCUAACUACGUG